UUCAAAUACAAAUAAUUUCCUGUUUUCAAAAAUUUUUUUCGUUUUCAUUUUUUUUACAAGAAUUUUCAAGCAUUUCUUCAGGAUACACAUAUGAACUUAGUUUCUCUGAGAACAAAGGAAAUGAGAUGAACGAUAAUCUAGCUAAUGAAGAUGAGCCUUUUUCGAUGGGUCCGUAUAUACAGAAGAGCUCCAAUGGAAAGAAAAGAAAAAUAAGGUUGAUUGCUGGCUGAAAAUAUCGCCAGACGAAGCUAUUUUUGGGACGAGGCAAUCACUAAAGGUGCAAACAAAUAAUAAGCCUUAGCAGAGACAAAUGAUGACUGGUCAGUUGCAUCUUUCCGUUGACCAAACUCAGCUAUAUUUUUCCAAGCCGAGGUGAAGUUCUAUUGUGCAACAACAGGAGCAUACAGAAGGCGACCGUUCACACAGCCAGACAGGGGACACUACCAGUUUUGUCGUCGCCAAAGAUCAAAUCCAGCGUAAUAAACAAAGCGAGAAAGAAUUACAGCAGGUCAACUCGCCUUAUACAUAAUGUGGAUUGCCGGUCAUAGGAACAAUUUUGGCUAUGAAAAAGCAGACGAGUUCGCUAAGUCAGGAGAGUCCUUCUCUACAAAUCCGAGACAUAUUCCACUAAGAGCAAAAUAUAUAAUUCAAGCAACCAGUAGCCGUCGUGGGAAGCAGCGGAAGAGAAAAAUCUUUGUUGGGCGGACCGGGUGGAGGUGGAUCUGGUUACACUUGGAAUCUUUAAUUGGCACCAAACAACGAAAAAUCGGUUGUAACCGCGUAAGAAGUAUAAAGAAGAAGAACACAAACAAAUGCCGGCUAGCGAAACAGAUGUGGCAAAAUAAGAACUAAGCACUUAUCACAUGGGUUUGGGAAAAGUACAUAAAGCAUUAUAGUUACCAGUCCGAGACAUUGACGAUUUGGAAUGGAAACGUAGUUAAUAAUCCCGGUAUACAUAAGAAAUAAUGACUCAUAAAAUUUUUAAAAUUAAUUUUUAAUUCAAGUUUGCAAAUAGAUUUUCAGAGUAAACAUUUCACAAUAGCUGAACAUAAGUAUAUCUACUAAAUGUAUGUAUAUAUUUAUACUAUAAUGUAUGCAUAUGUAUAUAUGUUGGUUGUGUGUUUGU